AUACGUAGGUCCCGAACGUUGCGCGAAAUUACUGGGCGUAAAGGGUCCGUAGGCGGUCUGGUAAGUGGAAGGUGAAAGCCUGGGGCUCAACUCCAGAAUUGCCUUCCAAACUGCCGGACUUGAGGCAGGGAGAGGUCGGCGGAAUUCCCGGCGUAGCGGUGAAAUGCGUAGAUAUCGGGAGGAACACCAGUGGCGAAGGCGGCCGACUGGAACUGUCCUGACGCUGAGGGACAAAAGCCAGGGGAGCGAACCGGAUUAGAUACCCUAGUAGUCC
rnacentral:rRNA from 1 species